rnacentral:lncRNA from 1 species
CAGUUGUAUGCUAAACAUAAUAUUCUUAUGAGCUCUAUUAGGCUUUUCUGAUACCUUAAGACAUGCAUUGUGAAUGGAUGCAUAAUAUAAAUCAAGAACAAAGCACAGAUGCUCACAGAUACAAUUCAAAUUUGUGGAAGCUUGACGCUAAGUGUAAUUCUCAGGGAAGGAACCAUUCUGCUGUGCAACAUGCCAAAGACUUGGGAACUCCCCCACCCCUGGAGAUACGCACUCACUGGUUGCCAGAAAGAAUAAGUUUAACGCUGUUAUAGACUUAAUACCCUGUUGGUAAAAAGGUUGUAAAUAUAGUCAAUGAAAGGACUCUCCCUAAUUAAGGACCUUGACACCUAAUACUAUAACUUGUGUUAAAAUUUAUGUAGAUUAUACUUAAACUGCUCAACUAUUCUUAUGCUGCCUUAACUAUUCUAUUGUAAUGGUUUUUUUGAAAAUUCUAUUUGUUCCGAUUGUAAACUUUUGUCAUGUUCGAUCAUUCUAAUUUCUUUGUGGACCUGAGGAGGAUGCUAAAUGCAUCCAAAGCAUUUUUGUAGAAAAUAAAAUAUUUUUUCUUUACAAC